AACGCGAAGAACCUUACCUGGGUUUGACAUGCACUUGAAGAUGCUAGAGAUAGUAUUGUUUCGCAAGAGACAGGUGCACAGGUGCUGCAUGGCUGUCGUCAGCUCGUGCCGUGAGGUGUUGGGUUAAGUCCCGCAACGAGCGCAACCCUUGUCGUUAGUUGCCAGCACGUAAUGGUGGGCACUCUAGCGAGACUGCCUGGGUUAACCAGGAGGAAGGUGAGGAUGACGUCAAGUCCGCAUGGCCUUUAUGCCCAGGGCUACACACGUGCUACAAUGGCAGGUACAGAAGGCAGCAAGACCGAAAGGUGGAGCAAAUCCUAAAAGCCUGCCCCAGUUCAGAUUGAAGUCUGCAACUCGACUUCAUGAAGAUGGAAUUGCUAGUAAUGGCGAGUCAGCAACAUCGCCGUGAAUACGUUCCCGGGCCUUGUACACACCGCACGA
rnacentral:rRNA from 1 species